ensembl:snRNA U6 U6 spliceosomal RNA
GUGCUUGACUUGGCAGCACAUGUUGAAAUAAAAAUUGGAACAACUUGGCGAAAAUUAGCAUGGCCUUGCUUAAGGAUCACAUGCACAUUGUGUGUUCCCUGUUUUA